rnacentral:rRNA from 1 species
ACAUGCAUACAACAUAGCGUUAACGCACCAAAUCCCAUUAGAACUUUACAGUUAAUCAUGUUCAUACUAGAAGAGUACUAGGAUGGGUGACCACCUAGGAAGCCCUAGUCUUUUAUAUGCG